ACGUAGGGGGCAAGCGUUAUCCGGAUUUACUGGGUGUAAAGGGAGCGUAGACGGCAAGACAAGUCUGAUGUGAAAACCCAGGGCUUAACCCUGGGACUGCAUUGGAAACUGUCUGGCUCGAGUGCCGGAGAGGUAAGCGGAAUUCCUAGUGUAGCGGUGAAAUGCGUAGAUAUUAGGAAGAACACCAGUGGCGAAGGCGGCUUACUGGACGGUAACUGACGUUGAGGCUCGAAAGCGUGGGGAGCAAACAG
rnacentral:rRNA from 1 species